AAGGAGACGGCUGCUUCUGAAUCUUCAGCUGCUUCAUCUUCAUCAUCUUCAUCAUCAACUUUCGAACGGCUUCUGCCGAAGCCAUCCAAUCGAAAAUCUUUACGAGAGACGCUGAGAGAUUUACGGAGCACAACAACGCUACUCUCAGAAUUAGCGCCAUGACGAGUCGAGCUGGAGCGAGUGGGAGGCAGCCUCCGUCUAUCACCACGUGGAG